rnacentral:lncRNA from 1 species
UUGUCACCUGUGUGUGUCACUGUCACCUGUGUGUGUCACCAUGACCACCAAGGAGUGCCUGCACCGCUUCUGCUCCGACUGUAUCGUCACAGCCCUGAGGAGCGGGUCAGUGUCACUGUCAUUGUCACUGUCAUUGUCAUUGUCUCCUUUGUGUGUCACCUGUGUGUGUCACCAUGACCACCAAGGAGUGCCUGCACCGCUUCUGCUCCGACUGUAUCGUCACAGCCCUGUGCAGCGGGUAUGUGACACCUGUGUGUGUCAUUGUCAUUGUCACCUGUGUCACCUGUGUGUGUCACCUGUGUGUCAUUGUCAUUGUCACACCUGUGUGUGUCAUUGUCAUUGUCACCUGUGUGUGUGUCAUUGUCAUUGUCACCUGUGUGUCAUUGUCAUUGUCAUUGUCACUGUCACCUGUGUGUCAUUGUCACCUGUGUCACUGUCACCUGUCUGCGUCACCAUGACCACCAAGGAGUGCCUGCACCGCUUCUGCCCCGACUGUAUCGUCACAGCCCUCAGGAGCGGGUAUGUGACACUGUCACUGUCAUUGUCAUUGUCAUUGUCACCUGUGUGUGUGUCAUUGUCACCUGUGUGUAUCACCAUGACCACCAAGGAGUGCCUGCACCGCUUCUGCUCCGACUGUAUCGUCACAGCAUUGAGGAGCGGGUAUGGGACACUGUCACCUGUGUGUCAUUGUCACCAUUGUCAUUGUCACCAUUGUCAUUGUCAUUGUCACCUGUGUGUGUGUCACUGUCACCUGUGUGUGUGUCAUUGUCACCUUGUGUGUCACCAUGGCCACCAAGGAGUGCCUGCACCGCUUCUGCUCCGACUGUAUCGUCACAGCCCUGCGCAGCGGGUAUGUGACACUGUCAUUGUCAUUGUCAUUGUCAUUGUCAUUGUCACCUGUGUGUGUCACCAUGGCCACCAAGGAGUGCCUGCACCGCUUCUGCUCCGACUGUAUCGUCACCACCCUCAGGAGCGGGUAUGGGACACUGUCACCUGUGUGUGUCAUUGUCAUUGUCACCUGUGUCACUGUCACCUGUGUGUCACCUGUGUCAUGGUCACCUGUCACUGUCACCUGUGUGUCACCUGUCAGUGUCACCCCGGUGCCGGCACCGCUUCUGCUCCGACUGUAUCGUCACCGCGCUCAGGAGUGGGUACGGGACACUGUCAUUGUCACCUGUGUGUCAUUGUCAUUGUCAUCUGUGUCAUUGUCACCUGAGUGUCACCUGUGUCUGUCGUUGUCACCUGUCUGUCUCUGUCACCUGUGUGUCACCUGUGUCAUUGUCAAAAGGUGUCACCUGUGUCACUGCCACCUGUGUGUCACUGUCACCUGAUAUUGUCACCUGUGUCUGUCAUUGUUUGUCAUUGUCUGUCACCUGUGUCACCUGUGUGUCAUUGUCACCUCUGUCACCUGUGUCUGUCAUUGUCUGUCACCUGUGUGUGUCGCUUGUGUCACCUGUGUCACUGCCACCUGUGUGUCACUGUCACCUGUCUGAUAUUGUCACCUAUGUCUGUCAUUGUCUGUCAUUGUCUGUCACCUGUGUCACCUGUGUGUCAUUGUCACCUCUGUCAUCUGUGUCUGUCAUUGUCUGUCACUGUCACCUGUGUCACCUGUGUGUCACUGUCACCUCUGUCACCUGUGUCUCUCAUUGUCUGUCAUUGUCACCUGUGUCAUUGUCACCUGUGUCACCUGUGUCACCUAUUGUCACCUGUGUCACCUGUUUCUGUCAUUGUCACCUGUGUCAUUGUCACCUGUGUGUGUCAUUGUCUGUCACUGUCACCUGUGUGUCACUGUCACCUGUGUGUCAUUGUCACCUGUGUGUGUCACCUGUGUCAGUGUCAGCUGUGUGGGUCACUGUCACCUGUGUCAUCUGUGUCUCCUGUGUCAAUGUCACCUGUGUCACCUGUCUGUGUCACCUGUGUCACUGUCACCUGUGUGUCACUGUCACCGGUGUUUCAUUGUCACCUUUGUGUCAUUGUAACGUGUGUCACUGUCACCUGUCACUGUCACCCGUGUGUCACUGUCACCUGUCUGUGUCACCUGUGUUUCACGGUCACUUGUGUCACUGUCACCUGUGUGCAAUUGUCACCUGUGUCAGUGUCACCUGUAUGUGUCACCUGUGUGUCACUGUCACCUGUGUCACGGUCACCCGUGUGUCAUUGUCACCCGUGUGUCACUGUCACCUGUGUCACUGUCACCUGUGUGUCACUGUCACCUGUCUGUCACUGUCACCUGUGUCACUGUCACUGUCACCUGUGUGUCACCUGUGUCACUGUCACCUGUGUGUGUCACUGUCAUCUGUAUGUCAUUGUUACCUGUGUCACCUGUGUCACUGUCACCUGUGUGUGUCACCUGUGUGUGUCACUGCCUGUCACUGUCACCUGUCAUUGUCACCUGUGAGUGUCACCUGUGUCACUGUCACCUGUGUGUCAUUGUCACCUGUGUCACUGUCACCUGUAUGUCACUGUCACCUGUGUGUGUCACCUGUGUGUCACCUGUGUGUCACUGUCACCUGUCAGUGUCACCUGUGUCUGUCACAGUCACCUGUGUGUCACCUGUGUCACUGUCACCUGUGUGUGUCACUGUCAUCUGUAUGUCAUUGUUACCUGUGUGUCACUUGUGUGUCACCCGUGUGUCACUGUCACCUGCGUCACUGUCACCUGUGUGUCACCUGUGUGUCACUGUCACCUGUGUGUCACUGUCACCCGUGUGUCACUGUCACUGGUGUGUCACCCCUGUGUCAUUCCCAAUUCCCAUUCCCCCCCAUUUUUUCUCCUGAUUUUUCCUCAUUUUUUCUCCAUUUUUUUCUCAAAUUUUUCCCCAAUUUCCCCCCGGUUUUUCCGCCAUAUUUUCCCCAUUUCUCCUCGGAUUUUUUGCCCAUUUUUUUUCCCCAUUUUCCCAGCUUUUUCCCCGUUUUUCCCCGUUUUUCCCCAGGAACAAGGAGUGUCCCCCAUCCAGGAAGAACCUGGAGUCUCAUUUUCUCCCUUUUUUUUCCCCGUUUUUUUGCCAUUUUUUGCCGUUUUUCCGCCAUAUUUUCCCCAUUUCUCCUCGGAUUUUUUUCCCGUUUUUUUCCCCAUUUUUCACAUUUUUCCCCCCAUUUUUCCCCAGGAACAAGGAGUGCCCACGUGCAGGAAGAAGCCGGGAUCUCAUUUU